rnacentral:tRNA from 2 species
GCUUUUGAAGCUCUGUUGGUUGAGCGCCGAGCUGUUAACUCGGAUAGAGUCGGUUCGAUUCCGGCCGAAAGCG